rnacentral:lncRNA from 1 species
UCUGGGCACCCAUGGCUCAGUCAAGUUGACAUGUGAAAUUAACCAUCACAAUGAGCAAGUGCAGCUAAUUGGCUGAGUGGUCAUGAGCCUAUUCCUUCAGAAUGUGAAAGCCUGGGAAAAGACUAACCUAUGAAAAAGCAAGGGCUAUGGAUCAAGUAUUCUUUGAAGUGCCCUGUUCACUUCAUGGUUCUGUAGAGAAUUAGAAAACUUCCAGGAGUUUCCAAGAAUGCUGAUAUCCAGUUCACCACUUUACCCACUGGUUGGAAGAAGCCUUGGAGGGCACACAGAAGCACUUCCUCCUUUUACAAACAAGAAAAGGGACAGAGUGACAACUUUAAAAAAAUCUACAUCUGAAGUUAGUUCUAUAGUUUCCUAUCUCCAGAAGAGGCAGAAAUGAACUCCACCAUGCCUAAA